CUGCUGGCAGAACAGAGAAAGAGAGAGAGCAGGAGAGAGAGAGACAGACAGAAUCCACUAGUAGAAUAAGCCAUGAUCACCACUCAAAACUUCUUUAAUUUUUGCAUCUGGCAAGAGUUUCUGCAAAUUCCCUGUGGUAAAGAUGGCAGGCUGCCCUGGAGAUCUUCUCUUCCUUGUGGGUUGGCUGUGGCUCGGAAGUGGCGGCUUCCUGGAGCCUGUGUGUCCAUUCCCAACUUCCUUGCAUCUAGAGCCUGUUUACUAGCAUGUCACUGCCUAUCACACAAUAAGGCUGGUGAAAUUCUAUUGAAAUAAUCCAUGUAAAAUGCUCAGUGGAGUGCACGAUACAAGUCAAUUCACUUCAGAAAGUAUCUACCCCCGUGUCCCCAGCAGCACAUUUCAUCCACACCACGAAGCGAACAGAAAGAGACCUAAAGCUUGGUCUAUGUGCUUCUGCCACUCACGUCUGAGCCAUAGAAAAAUGUUACAACUUUACAAAGUGACUGUGAAUUUAAGUUAAACCCUCUGACAACAAAUUGGAGGACACACAAGCCUAAAAGAUGAACGAUACGGUGUUUAUACUUCUCCCUAGGAAGAGCCAUAGGCCUUGGGCCCCAUCAAGGGUCUCUCCUGGAGUUUCAGUCAAGAAGUCAGCUUGACUGGCUCUGGAAUAUUGGCUUCCACACUGGCUCCUUGCAUGGCUGGC
rnacentral:lncRNA from 1 species